rnacentral:rRNA from 1 species
UACGUAGGGGGCAAGCGUUGUCCGGAUUUAUGGCGUAAAGAGCGUGUAGGCGGCCAGGUAGGUCCGUUGUGAAAACUGGAGGCUUAACCUCCAGCUGUCGAUGGAAACCAUCUGGCUAGAGUCCGGAAGAGGAGAGUGGAAUUCCUGGUGUAGCGGUGAAAUGCGCAGAUAUCAGGAAGAACACCCGUGGCGAAGGCGGCUCUCUGGGACGGUACUGACGCUGAGACGCGAAAGCGUGGGGAGCGAACAGG